CCAGGAAGAUCUGCGCCACCAUUUCCGGGAGCCUCAGUGCACCAGGGCUCCAGAUGGCGUUUGGUGUUUUCCUCUGGCGUCAGAGAUGUGUGCAGAGUGCAGUCUCUUCUGAUUUCCCAGGCGUGUCUGCCUCUCUGAAGGUUUAGCUCUCCCUCCCACGGGAUUUGGGUGCAGAGAACUGUUUAUCCGGUCUGUCCUAAAUUCUUUUGUUUUAUUGAUGAAAAAUGUCCCUGGUUAAUUUUAAGCAGUGUGGGGCUGAGGGUGACAAGUGUGCAGGCCUGCUAACAAGCAAGCUGCAGGCUGUGCGUGGGCAACAGCACAGCUCAGGCCAAGUCAGCAUAAGAAGAGUUUCAAGGAUGCUACAGAAGUGUGCCAGCUGCCUGCGUGUCUGGUGAGACAUGCUGAUCCUGGGAGCAUGAAGAUUCAGCUCUCCUGGUUCGGGACCGUGGAGUCAUUCCUGUGCCCUUGAAAGAAGAUGGAGACUUUUUAGGAUUUACCCUCACCGAGCACAGGAAGAUAACAUUCAAGGGAUGCCUCAGCUUGAGCAGAUACCAGUUAUCUCCUGAGUCAACACCCGGUGUCUCCACCGCAUGACCUCAUCGUCUACCGCCUGACCUCUUUGCCUCCUGCUAUCACUGACUAUAUCCUCAUCCCUCCAUCCUUUGUGUUUCACAAAGGACACUCCCCCUACCUGAAAGCCUUAAAAGCUGGAACGUUCACCCCAAUAAAUGAGACCUUGACAAUAGAA